GGAAUUUUGCUCCAUGGGCGAAAGCCUGAAGCAGCAACGCCGCGUGAGGGAUGAAGGCCUUCGGGUUGUAAACCUCUUUUCUCAGGGACGAUAAUGACGGUACCUGAGGAAUAAGCCACGGCUAACUACGUGCCCGCAGCCGCGGCAAUACGUAGGUGGCAAGCGUUGUCCGGAUUUACUGGGCGUAAAGAGCGCGCAGGCGGUCUUGUAAGUCGAAUGUGAAAGCCCCCGGCUCAACUGGGGAGGGUCAUUCGAUACUGCUCGACUUGAAGGCAGGAGAGGGAAGUGGAAUUCCGGGUGUAGUGGUGAAAUGCGUAGAUAUCCGGAGGAACACCAGUGGCGAAGGCGACUUCCUGGCCUGUUCUUGACGCUGAGGCGCGAAAGCUAGGGUAGCAAAC
rnacentral:rRNA from 1 species